AUGCAGAAUAUUGGAAUUGAGCAAAGGUGCAAAGGUGCAGAAAUUGAGGAUUUGGUGGUGGCUUUACUUGGCCUCUGCAAUCUUCUAACGAAGGAAGGAAAAGCUAUGGAUGCUGAAAAUCCCUUUAUUAGAUUUCUUGACAUAUAUGCAAAGUUGUACGGGAGAAUAAUGGAAGAGUUUUUGAAUGGCUAUGUGUUUGUUGGCCCAUGUGAAAUGUGCAUAAGGGAAUGCUAAUGAAGGCAGUCAAUUAUAUAGAAAUGCUCUUCAGGUCCUUACAGAUUCAAAAUGUAUGCCUUUGGAUGACAACGUAAUGGAAAAGAUGAUAGAUUUACCAGAAUUGCUGCAUUUAGUGGGAAGGUUACCUGGAGAGAUGCAUAGGG